GGGCGGGUGGUGAAAUGGCAGACACGGGGGACUUAAAAUCCCCUGGGGGCAACCCUGUGAGGGUUCGAAUCCCUCCCCGCCUA
rnacentral:tRNA from 3 species